GUGGGGAAUAUUGCACAAUGGGCGAAAGCCUGAUGCAGCGACGCCGCGUGAGGGAUGACUGCCUUCGGGUUGUAAACCUCUUUCAGCAGGGACGAAGCGCAAGUGACGGUACCUGCAGAAGAAGCACCGGCCAACUACGUGCCAGCAGCCGCGGUAAUACGUAGGGUGCAAGCGUUGUCCGGAAUUAUUGGGCGUAAAGAGCUCGUAGGCGGUCUGUCGCGUCGGCUGUGAAAACCUGGGGCUUAACUCCGGGCCUGCAGCCGAUACGGGCAGACUAGAGUUCGGCAGGGGAGACUGGAAUUCCUGGUGUAGCGGUGAAAUGCGCAGAUAUCAGGAGGAACACCGGUGGCGAAGGCGGGUCUCUGGGCCGAAACUGACGCUGAGGAGCGAAAGCGUGGGGAGCAAACAGG
rnacentral:rRNA from 1 species